AUGGAGAACAAGGAGGCGGCUGCAGCGGCGGCGCCGGCCGUGCCGGAGAAGGAGUCGCAGGCGGCGUCGACGUGCUUUAAGAGGACGGUGGCCGAGGACGCGGGGCUGAUGGAGCUGGCCAAGGACCAGUACCGGCAGUUCAAGGAGGCGCAGGGGAGGGACCACUGGGAGUGCAUCAAGAACAAGGUCAGCUCCAUGUUCGCCGACCCCAUCUUCGGCGGCUUCAAGCCUGACUCCACCACCAACACGCCGCCGUCCGUCGAGUCGCAGUAG
rnacentral:rRNA from 1 species